UGAUGAACAAGGUGAGUGGAAUAUUUUAUGAAAUGUGCAAAGUUAAAAAGAUUUUAUGCCCAUGAAUUGAACUUUCUAUUUUACCAUAGAGUAACAUUAAUGGACCCACGUAUGCAUGUUGUUGGUCCACAUAUAUUAAGGAAGAUUGAAAAAUCAUUAGCAAAUUCCUUGUCCACACAAUCAUAAAAAAUAGAUAAGGUAUAUCAACUUAUCAUAUGAGAGAAUUUCAAAAAACUAUAACAUCCCCACAUCUUGAUUCUCAAGAUUCACUAAGACAAUUAACCAAUCAAUAAAAACACAUAUUGUUAAUGAAAAAUGUUCCUUAUGCAUAAAUAAAAACAUUAGAAAUUUUUCCUAUGGUUACUAUAAAAAUGAAAUUUGUUACAAAUUAAUUUAUUCAUCACUAAAUUUAGUAAUGAGAAUAGAUGAUAAUUUAAUAUUUUCCGUCUCUAAAUUUCCGUCGCUAUAAGAUGGACAUGUAUUACUUACAUUGGGUGAAGACCUUCAAUGACCAAGAUUUUGGGUGGUUUAAUAAGCUCAGGAGGAUCUAAAAGACCAGUAACAUGAUUAUAAAUAGGUUUUUGAACAGAAACACCCUCUUUAAUAGCUUUAACUUGUUCAUACAUAAGAUCAAAAUCAUUAGCUCUUGGAUCAAGUGCAGUAACACCUUUCUCUUUUCUACCAGUUCUAUCCAAAGAAUGGUAAUCAUCCAAACAUAUCACAGUGGUUGUGUCACUGAUAAGUGUGUUUGAGUCAG
rnacentral:lncRNA from 1 species